UUUUAUUUGAGAGUUUGAUCCUGGCUCAGGAUGAACGCUGGCGGCGUGCCUAACCCAUGCAAGUUGAGCGAUUUACUUCGGUAAAGAGCGGCGGACGGGUGAGUAACGCGUGGGUAACCUACCCUGUACACACGGAUAACAUACCGAAAGGUAUGCUAAUACGGGAUAA
rnacentral:rRNA from 1 species